GGAGAAAUGCCAUCUAUGAAGGUAGGUGAAUUAAGAGCGAUAUUUUAAGUUGAAAACAGAGUUACUAUAAUAUUCUUUAACUUAUCUUCAAUCCAAAAUGGCUAUAGCCUUCCUCAAGUUAGAUAAGUAAAAUAGUCUUUGAUAGAUACUAUAAUUAAGAUGGUUAUAAUUUAAUUUUUUUACAGUUUGAUUUCGUUUGAAAAGAAACACAAACAGCAUAUUACAGAUAAACUGCAUCGUCGUAAAUGAAAUAUCUAAAUCAUAUGCAAUGAAAUAUUUAUAUCAAUUCUUUAAUGCUGCUUUGAAAGUUUUUGUCGAGUAAUAGCUUAUCAAACACAAACCAAGGUUUAAACCACGAGUUUUUACUAAAAUUUCUUGUACCAAGUCAGGAAUAUGGAAGUUGUUUUUAUGCAUGUUGGCUUUUAUUUUUUGUUGCAGUUCAGUGUUUCUGUUGUUCCUUUGUUUUACUCUUACAGUUGAUGUGUUUUCCUCGGUUUUAGUUUGCAACAUGGGUGAGUUGUCUCUUAAUAGAUCAGCGGUAUAUUACCGUGACCUUUAUCGUUUAGAAAGCCAAUGAUGUAUAGGGAUGAAUAAAAAGAUAUACAAGGAAAGAGUAUAUAUUAAGAACUUGCUCUGCAACAUGGCGACAAACGGGAACAACUAUAUCUCAAUCAUGUUAAUGUACAUGUAAGAAUAUAUAUAUAUGUCAGCUCUAAAUGGUCUGGAAUCUAAACAUUAUUAACAGAUUUCACAGAAACAAUCGAAGAUCUGUUAUCAACACCAAAGUCUCCUAAUAGCAAAGAAAAUAUUAAAAACUAGUCAUUUUGGGGCCCUUUAUAUCUUGCUGCUCGGUGUGAGCCAAUGCUCCGUGUUAAAGACCGUACUUUGAUCUAUAAUGUUUUACUUUUACAAAGUGUGACUUGGAUGGAGAGUUGUCUCAUUUACACCCAUUGUCUAGUUCAGUAUCUUAUGCUUUACAAAUCUUCCUUGUUCGGGAAGAUUUAAUGCUUACGUAUGUUUGUGUUUUCAUAUCUAUAUGUUGUUAAUAUUUCUUAUAUUUCAAUUAAAAAUUUAAUGAAAUCAACUAAUUACAUUGUUUGGUUAACUAAUUAAAAACUCUUCAUAUCAAUUGAGACGGUCUGUUAAAGCCAAACUUGUUUAACUUUCCUUAUAUAUCUGACCUAUCAAAGAACCGUUAUAUUAAUGAAGUAGCUAUGGGUAAUGGAACACAUUUUACAUUUGAGUUAUGUAUUGAAAAUGUUUUUUGUACAUAGGGCAUUUAUACCAUGUUCCAUUACCUAUUUCAACCUAAUACCCUAAGUGCAUCUUAUGUCUAAAUAAGUUGGUUUCUCCGGGUGUCCCUUAUAAGUAGUUUUUUUAAACCAUUAUAUUUUUGGAUACACUGUUAAAAAAAAAUAUCCACAUCAGGAAAUAUCUUGAGUGACGUUGUAGAAUAUGUUUUGAGUAUUAAUUCACUACAAAUAAGUUACAAUAUAAAAAUGUCAACAAAUUUAAAUUACAGAACUACCAGGUAAUUUGAAAAAGUGAGAAUCCCAUAAAACCGGAAAAAUAAAAACUUUAGACUAUUUGUAUCAACAAAUGGAAGCAAUAGAAAAUAAUUGUAAUGUUCCCGACUGUAAUUUAUCCAUACAUAUUCUCGGUCUUUAAGUAUAAUGUUCUACCUAGUGAUUACGUUGUAUAGUACUCGACUUGAGUACGAGGUGUCGUGGGUAUGCAGCUAGGUCGGGUUAUCUAAAAAUUAAAAAAUCGGUAUGUGCUGCUUCUUACGAGCGUUAGUAGUUUGAAUUAUGUCUGCUGGUAGAGUGUUCCCGUGGACUGUAACAUUGUGAACUAGUACGGUUAAUCUGGGAACAGAAUAAUUAUGUUCUUGGGUAAAUACUUUACUUAGCUUAACAUCUGGUCCAGUACAUAGAAGGUUUCGUAUUCAUAUCAUAUUAUCAUAUUCUCCUCCUAAUAUGUUUCAUUUUUCAUCGACGUUAAAUCAGUUUCCCUAUCAACGUCACCAUCAUACAUUGCAGAAACACAUGUUUGAAUUCAAUGUGCAUCUGUUCAGAAAACAAUGUAAACUUUAUUGAAAAUCAACAUAUUAACAAGUUCAAGAACGUUAAAAUCAAUGGAUAAUGAUUAAAACUGUUCAGAGCUUGCCGAUUUUUGCUGAGUGUUGUAUUUGGGCUUUGUUUUUGUUUAUUGUUAUAUUAUAAAUCAGGUCAAUUUGGUUUUACUUUUCAAUUGUAACACAUUGUUUUCAUACAAAGUAAAAAAAAACUAAACUACUGGGAGGAAAUUUCAAAAGGAAUUUCAAAGUCCCUAAUCAAAUGGCAAAAUCAAAAAAGCUCAAACACAUCAAACAAAUGGAUAACAACUGUCAUAUAUUCCUGACUUGGUACAGGCAUUAUGAUAGCUUAUGUUAUGUGACAAAUAUUUUUCGUGUAUGUUAAGGACGAGCUCGAUGGUUGGAGGAUGAACGGUGACGUAUAACAACUGUGUACAUCUUCUACCGUUUAUCCCUGGUUGUUAUUUGUAACAUUAGCAAUCAUACCAGAUCUACUUAUUUAAAAAAAAUGCAUAUCGGGUACACCAACAAGAUAUUCUACAAAAAGAUAAAAAAAAAAAUAUCAUGUACAUUAAAUAGAUACUAGAUCUUGCAUCAAAAUAAACAAAGUUAAAUAACAAAUACCAAUUUAUGCAAAAUUAGAGAAAAUUAAAUUAUUUCCUAAAUGGAUCAAUGCAUAUACUAGUACAUGUAUAGCAAAUAUUUGUACAAUUUAACGUUACUUGCUACACGACGGAGGCGAACGAUAUGAUAGGGACAUCCAAACUCAAAAGUAAAAAAUAAACUGACAACGCCAUAGCUAAAAAUUAAAAAAAAAAACAGACAAACAGUAAUACACAAAACAGUGAAAACACUACACACUAAAGAAUGAGCAACACAAACCCUACUGUUCCAUAUAUGGCAGCCGUCAUAUUGCUCAUUUUAGUACAAACCCGGUUCUAAGUCUUAUUUGGUAGGCCACAUUCGGGAAAAAGAGACGAAAUUGUAGCUACGACAUUAGGAACAUAUCAGCUAUUAUCUGUGGAACAGACCCUAUUGGAAGGAAUUGAAAACUUAAACAACCGAUGGUUGUGUGAAAAAAGGGAAACAAAUCUAAAUCCUUUGAUUUACUCGUACAUGAUUCACAAUACGUAUAGCACUUCUAAAAAUAAAAAGGUUCUAUCUUAAAAAUUGGUAGCGAGUUUGACGACAAAAAGUCCUUAAAUGACAUAGUCCAGCAAGUGGUAAUUGUGUAAACAAUCGAAAUCCUGUUACUCGGAGAUGUUCGAGAAAUCGACAAUUAAUGUUUAAAAAAUGUUACUUAAAGAAAAUGCUAAUCCCGUAGAAAAAAAGAAAAAAAUAAAUGAUUAUCUGAAUAUCAAAAAUUAUUUUGUACCGUAAAUUUUAGAGAUUUUAAAAGACAAAAGCAACAACAACAACAGAAGGAAAUAUGAUUCUUUCAUCGACUUCCUGGUAGAGAUAACUUAUAUUUCAUUUUAAUUUUGAUACAUAAUGAGACAUGCAACUUCCUCGAAAUUAAAGUAACAGCUGACGGCAUUUCUGAUUAGAAAAAAGAAAUACAGAAAACAACCAGGUAAAUAUGUUUUGGUUAGAAACUGUAUUUACGUAAUCUUGACAAUUUUAUUACGUCUAUUAUAAUUACCUAAAUUGUAACUUAUAUUUAGUUUCAGUCUUUACUAUAUGCUUUGCUAUCUUCC
rnacentral:lncRNA from 1 species